rnacentral:rRNA from 1 species
UAUAUGGGAAGAAUAAGGAGUACGUGUACUUUGAUGACGGUACCAUAUGAAUAAGCAUCGGCUAACUCCGUGCCAGCAGCCGCGGUAAUACGGAGGAUGCGAGCGUUAUUCGGAAUCAUUGGGUUUAAAGGGUCUGUAGGCGGGCUAGUAAGUCAGAGGUGAAAGCGCUUAGCUCAACUAAGCAACUGCCUUUGAAACUGUUGGUCUUGAAUGGUUGUGAAGUAGUUGGAAUGUGUAGUGUAGCGGUGAAAUGCUUAGAUAUUACACAGAACACCGAUAGCGAAGGCAUAUUACUAACAAUUAAUUGACGCUGAUGGACGAAAGCGUGGGGAGCGAACAGGAUUAGAUACCCUGGUAGUCCACGCUGUAAACGAUGGAUACUAGCUGUUUGGAGCGAUCUGAGUGGCUAAGCGAAAGUGAUAAGUAUCCCACCUGGGGAGUACGUUCGCAAGAAUGAAACUCAAAGGAAUUGACGGGGGCCCGCACAAG